GGGUGAGCUAGGGAGACUAACAUUCGAGUUCCUGCGAGGUAUUAGCACAUUGUUAGGUUUGGGACUUAUUGGCCUUUUUGGAUGGUUGUCCAGGUUUUGGACAGCAAGUAAUCUGGAACUGGAGCUGUUUUCAUUGGACCCCCUCCCAAAGUAGGAAGAAGGAAUCCUUCUCUUGCAGCCCCUCUUGCUAUGCGGCCGAGUCGAUACGUGAACCAUUCUGGUGAGACAGUUUGAGACGGAGUCUGCAGCUGCAUAAAUGGUCCAUGAUACAACGGUAGGGAUUGUUUUCCAGAUUGUCUAGAAGUAUAUCACCUGUUACAUUGCAAUUCUGGACAUCGCUCUCGGAAUGAUUUUUAUUAUCAGAUAAUCCAUCUGAAUUGGUUCGAUUCGAAACGUGCGCGG